CAUCCUUUUAACUUCUUCAUGUUACAGAUUAAAUAAUUAGUAUUAUAAACUCUAGAAUCAUUAAGUUCUGUGCCAUCGAAAGUCAAAGGAAGGAUAUUGACACAGAAAUAUUGAUAAAUGUCAUUACUAAGAAUAUUGUAACGCGGGAAAGAUAAUUUCAUGUAUCUUAUUUUCUGUUUAUAAAUCAUUUAUUUUAAAAAUCAUAACUAGUUAAUAUUUUCAAACAUUAAUCAUGUAUGUGAAAAGUAUCUUUCAAUAUCAACAACGCUCAUUUCUUAGACCAAUAUAUCGAUGUAUAAAAUAUCAGUUUGUCAAAUGUUUCUUUGUAAUAAAUCAACAAGGAUACUCGAUUAAAUCAAUGUCAUUAGGUCAGUCAAAGAAAAGGACAAUGAAUUCAGUACGAUUGUUGUCUGGAUACGAUAUGCCUACUGUAGGCUUAGGUACAUGGCAGGCCAAGCCCGAUGAAAUUGAAAAUGUUGUGACAGCUGCUCUAAAUGCGGGAUACAGACAUAUUGAUACUGCAUUUAAUUAUAACAAUGAAGAUGCAAUUGGAACAGUAUUAAAAAAGUGGUUUGCAGAAGGUGGAAGACGAGAGGAUCUCUUUAUUACUACAAAGUUACCCCACUAUGGUAACCGGCCAUCAGAAGUAGAGAAAUAUAUUAAGUUAUCUUUGGAAAAACUUGGUUUGGAUUAUUUGGACAUGUACUUAAUACACAUGCCUUUUGCUUUUAAACGGGAUGAAUCUGGCACCUAUCAUGCCCCAGCUACUUCUGAAGAUGGAACUUACAUAUUAGAUCUUGAUAUGGACCCUGUCUCAGUGUGGAAGGAAAUGGAAGACCAAGUAAGAAAAGGUCGUACAAGAUCCAUAGGUUUAAGUAACUUUAAUGAGAAGCAGAUAUUAAGUAUAUGGGAAAAUGCACAAAUUAAACCAAGUAACUUACAAAUAGAGUUACAUGCCUACUUGCAACAAAAUUCAAUUAGAGAAUUGUGCAAAAAGCACAAUAUUAUUGUAACUGCCUAUAGUCCCUUGGCAUCUCCAGGAGCCAAAGUACACUUCAAAACGAAAUACAAUAUUAGUAUUGAGGAAUAUCCAGACCUCUUGGGACAUCCAGUAGUACAAAAAUUAAGCGCAGAAUACAAACGAACAACGGCACAAAUUUUAUUGCGUUAUUUGUUACAAUUAGGCGUCGUUGUAAUUCCGAAAAGCGCCUCUCCAGAAAGGAUCAAAGCGAAUAUUGAAUUAUUCGAUUUUGCAUUAAACGAAGAUGACAUGAAACUUUUGAGUACCUUGGACAAAGGUACACGUGGGAGAAUUUUUAAUUUCCUAUUCUUUAAAGGAGUUGAAAAUCAUCCGCAUUAUCCAUUCAAAGAUGAACUAGUAUCAUAACUGAAAAAGUUAUAAGUACGUAGUUUGUGUUCAUAUAUAUAUGUAUAUUUAUACAUUGAAAACUAAUGAAAUACAGUACAAAAUGAGAAAAACAUAUAAUAACGCAUAAAUGCACAAGAUCAUUAUAAUAAAACAACAAGUAUAUAGUAUGCUAAAUAAAAAAGAAAAGAAAACUUAUAAUUACAUUUUAAUGCAGUCUGUACAACAUUUUACGUUGCAUACGAUGUUGGAGUUCCCCGCGACGUAUCAUUGUGUGUAUAACUUUAUAAACCGCACGUUCCGGAUAUGCUUGUUUUACGAAAUCUUUGACAAUAUUCUGUUCUGAUACUUGAUUCCCAAUAGGGAAUCUACGUUUCAAUUGUUUCUCAAUACGAGAUAACAUUUCGUGAUCCUCGUCCGAGUUGUUUAAUUCUAGAUUACCAGCUAAUGAUCCGGACAUCGCAGCAUCCAAAGUUGAGACUUGAAACAGUCUUAGCGCUUCGUUGACAUGGACCUCCGUGGCAAAAGCCUGUAAUUGCAUUUUAGCUAACGAUUCUGAAAUUCUUAUAACGGCUUCCAACUGACGAACAGUUAUGGGAAUAGAUAGUCUCUUCUCUGUAUCCUUCUCAUGCUCUUUGGUGCUAGCUCGCAUUACUACGUAACGAUUUUUCAGUUUUUCUCCUGCUUCUACACUAAGUCUCGGGCCGCAGCGUCUGUGGAAGGAAAGGUUAAUUCAGAAUAAAGAAUGUGACUCUUCUAUAUUUUAAGGUAACAGGAUCUUACGUUCUACAAUAAUGAAUAUAUUUCUUUAGUAUAUGCAACGGCAACUCUCCUUCUGCAGACUGUUCUGUAACCUGACCAGCAUUAGUAUGAAUGCUCAUUACAUGUUUUGCUAAUGUUACGUCCUUAUUUUGAUCGUGUUCGUCUUUAACAAUAAAUAUCAUAUCGAACCGCGACAAUAUAGUUGGCAUGAAAUCUAUGUUCUCUUCUCCCUUUAUAUCAUCCCAACGACCGAAUAUAGAAUUUGCAGCCGCCAGAACAGAACAUCGAGUAUUCAAUGUUGUUGUGAUCCCCGCUUUCGCAAUUGAUAUUGUUUGUUGCUCCAUAGCUUCGUGUAUUGCAACUCUGUCGUCCUCUUUCAUUUUAUCGAAUUCGUCUAUACAAACAACUCCGCCAUCCGCGAGAACCAUAGCACCUCCUUCCAUAACAAAAUUUCUCUGUAAAUCAAACGAAUAGAAAAUAGAUACAUUUUUAUAUAUAAAUUAAUGAUUAUAUAUAAAUUGAGUGAUUUACCGUAACCGGAUCUCUUAAGACCGAUGCUGUUAAACCAGCAGCUGAGCUUCCUUUUCCAGACGUAUAAACUGCUACAGGUGCGACCCUUUCGACAAAUUUUAGUAGCUGUGAUUUGGCUGUGCCAGGGUCACCUAACAUUAAAAUGUUAAUGUCUCCUCUUCUACAGAGACCGUCGGGCAUUCUCUUUCUGGCUCCGCCGAAUAAUAAACAUGCUAUGGCCUUUUUCAUAUCUAAUGCACCAAAAAUGCUUGGAGCUAUACUUUUUGCAAUCCUUUCAUAUAUGUUAGAAUCUGCUGCUAAACGUCUAAAUACGUCUUCUUCUUCAAUUGUAACACAUGGUUGAGUACCUGAAACCAUGCAAAUUAAAAUGAGUGAACACAAUCUUACGAAAAGUUCUGUAGUUCCAUGGUGUCUGUUUAUUGUUAACGUACCACUGCCUGAAUUUUCUCCAUCUACAGAAAUACCAAUGACUCUUAUAUAUGGAGCUCGAACACCAACCAGUGGUUUCUCUUUUCCUGUGCCUCUACCACCAGUUUUGGUAACCUUUUUAAUAGAAUAUAUUCCCAAAAUAAGAACUCUAUUGCCUGGUACGACUCUGUCACACAAAUAACGGUCGCAAUACAAUUGUAAAUGGCGUGGCAUUUCACCUUGUGGAAUAUGAUCUGGCAGUUCUUGCAAUUUAAGAACUUGAAAAUCUACACAGUGACAUUUGUCUGGCAUUAUGAAAAACGGAUCCAAUGGACAUUUUGGUCGACCUGCUUGUUCUCUGUUGUAAAUUGUUUAUAAAUACUUUGAAUAUUUUUCAUAUGUUAGAUUUAUAAAUAUAAAAUUGAUUUUAAAAUAUACUGUUAAUGAAACAUACGUUGUACAUUUUCUGGGUAAAACAUAUCCUUCUAAGCCAGGUUUAAUGGAAAUAUUGGUUUGUACACUUCUACACGACCGACAUUGUAUGGCAAUCUUUGUUGCUUUAGCUCUAAUUCCAGAUGCAGAAAUAACGAUACCAGGUAUUUUGAUGAGUUUAGAAACUGCAUCGGGCUAAGCAAAGAUAAACAAACAUAA